CAGCAGCCGCGGUAAUACGUAGGUGGCAAGCGUUGUCCGGAUUUACUGGGUGUAAAGGGCGUGCAGCCGGGCAUGCAAGUCAGAUGUGAAAUCUCAGGGCUUAACCCUGAAACUGCAUUUGAAACUGUAUGUCUUGAGUGCCGGAGAGGUAAUCGGAAUUCCUUGUGUAGCGGUGAAAUGCGUAGAUAUAAGGAAGAACACCAGUGGCGAAGGCGGAUUACUGGACGGUAACUGACGGUGAGGCGCGAAAGCGUGGGGAGCGAACAGGAUUAGAUACCCUGGUAGUCCACGCUGUAAACGAUGGAUACUAGGUGUGCGGGGACUGACCCCCUGCGUGCCGCAGUUAACACAAUAAGUAUCCCACCUGGGGAGU
rnacentral:rRNA from 1 species